UAAUAAGAAGAGAUAGAAAUGUGUUUUCGCAUGAAAGAUUCUAUUAUAUAUCAGCAACAUCACAUCAUUUAUUAACAGUUAAUUAUAUUUUUUCUAUUAAAUAAAAAUAUAAUAAAAAUAUUUUUUUAUUAAUUAUUAUGAGACGAAUAAAUUCAAAAAUAAUAAUAAUUAAUUAGUAACGCCACAUAUAUCUAUAUCUACCUAUACAUUAUUCCUCCUAAAUUGCCACAUGACAACAUAUCUAUAUCUACCUAUACAUUAUUCCUCCUAAAUUGCCACAUGACAACAUUUCCUUCAUUUGUUGAGUGUGGGCUCCACCUCGAACCGGAUUAAAUUUUCCAUAUAUUUUCAUCUUCUUUUGCUUAAACGAACCAAAAUUUUUUUUUUCUUUAUUUGAACCGAACCGAUUAUUAUUGAGUGUGGGCUCCCCCAAAGUGGCUCAAGUCUUCCACAUGUUUUUCUUUUUUUUUGCUUGAACUGAAUAUGGUUUCAUCUUUGUUUUUACUUGAACCGAAUCGGAUAGAUCAACCUGUUAUAUUGGGUCAAGCUGGCCAAACUAUGCAUAUAUAUUUUCAUCUUUGUACUGGAUUUUUCUUUUUCUUUUUCUUUGCUUGAACCAAAUCGAUCACUGUCGAGUAUGGACUUCACCUGGAAUCGGUUCAAGUUUUUCUUUUUUUUUUUUCUUGAACUGAAUCGAAUUUUUCUUUUUUUGUUUGAAUAGAAUCGAGUCACAUCUCUGCAGUGGGUGUGACUGGUCCUUUUUCUCUUUCUUUUACUGUUAUCUUCAUUUAUCGAUAAGAUAAAUCUUACCUUUAGUUUAUCGGCGUUUUUUUCAUUGCCGUUUUUUCUUUCUUUGUCACCAUUUUUUUUUUUCAAUUAUCGAUCCAUCGCAUCACACGGAUUCCUACACCAGUCGACGAUACAGCAGGUGCAUCUUAAUUUUCUUUUCCUUUU
rnacentral:lncRNA from 1 species